UACGGAGGGUGCAAGCGUUAAUCGGAAUUACUGGGCGUAAAGCGCACGCAGGUGGCUGAGUCAGUCGAUUGUGAAAGCCCUGGGCUUAACCUGGGAAUUGCAGUCGAUACUACUCAGCUAGAGUAUGGGAGAGGGUAGUGGAAUUCCCGGUGUAGCGGUGAAAUGCGCAGAUAUCGGGAGGAACACCAGCGGCGAAGGCGGCACUCUGGGCUGGAACUGACGCUGAGGAGCGAAAGCGUGGGUAGCAAACAGG
rnacentral:rRNA from 1 species